rnacentral:rRNA from 1 species
UGUGGGUUGUGAAUAACAAUCCGUGCCGUCGCAAACGCAAUAAGUACCCCGCCUGAGGAGUACGAUCGCAAGAUUAAAACUCAAAGGAAUUGACGGGGACCCGCACAAGCAGCGGAGCAUGUGGUUUAAUUCGAAGCAACGCGAAGAACCUUACCUAAACUUGACAUACCUUGAAUUACCUUGUAAUGAGGGAAGCUCGCAAGAGCAAGGAUACAGGUGGUGCAUGGUUGUCGUCAGCUCGUGUCGUGAGAUGUUGGGUUAAGUCCCGCAACGAGCGCAACCCUUGUUGUUAAUUGCUAACAGGUUAAGCUGAGCACUUUAGCGAGACAGCCUAGGUUAACUAGGAGGAAGGUGGGGAUGACGUCAAAUCAUCAUGCCCCUUACGUUUAGGGCUACACACGUGCUACAAUGGUGAGAACAAAGAGAAGCAAGCUAGCGAUAGUGAGCAAAACUUAUAAAACUCAUCUCAGUUCGGAUUGCAGGCUGAAACUCGCCUGUAUGAAGAUGGAGUUGCUAGUAAUCGCGAAUCAGAAUGUCGCGGUGAAUACGUUCCCGGGUCUUGUACACACCGCCCGUCACACCAUGAGAGUUGGCAACACCCGAAGCCGUGGGCUAACC